UGAGGAUCGAAGAUAUUGUUUACAGGACAAUAGUACUGGAAACUGGAGACAGACAACUGGGAACACACAACUGCAAAACCCAUCAUUAAAUGUUCAAUUUAUGCAUCAGAUCUAGGCCUUAAAACAGUGAAUAUUUAUCGUGAUUUACUAUACCCUGAUUUUAACAAAGCAGGAAGCUAUUAAAACCAAUUCAAAAUGAGGAGUUCAGUUCUUAACGUGUUAAGACUACUGAUGUUUACAGAUCACUCAAGUUCGAUAUAACCACAUCACAAGGCCCUGAUUGUGUGGAGUCUGUAUUUCUAAACUUAGCAGUUGAUAUUAUUUCAUCUCUUUUAAUUUAUCAUGUUAAUCUUUCAUUAGACAAUGGGGUUAUACCAGAAAUUUGGAAAUCAGUUUUCUUAUUUAUUUAUUACAUUAAAUCAGGGACAUCCAACUAUAUUAGAUCAUUACAAUCCAAUAACAAGGCCUCCUCGCCUAUGUCCCUUGUAGAAAGCUUUUUCAGUGAACCGUUCACAUGUUAUCAGUCUGCAAGAAGUCUAAGGUCAUACAAACAUAUCAGCACAACUAUUGUUUUGAAAGUCUUAAAACAAUGUCACGGUACCCUCUGCACUUCCCUGUCUGUUGAUUUAGAAGAGGCUCCCAACCCAGUGAAUCAGGAAAUAUUGCUGCAGAAAUUAAAUACUGUCAUUCAUGACAAUUAAAUGUUGCUCACUUUGGAGGAAUGUGAAUAUGUAUUUAACUUAGUCUAAAUUUAAAAUUUAUCAUCUGUGAGCUUUGUUUCAAUUUACCACCAAGUUGUUACCUCGGCUGAGCGCCCAAUUGUAAGAAGCAUAAGAUUCGUCCUAUAAUUUUAUCCAUUUCAUUUAAACUGUAUUUGACCAUAUUAAGGUAGUGUUAAACCUACUCAUAUCACAAACCACAUUUCCCAUCCUGCACUGCGGUCCACAAACAUGGCUGCCAUGUUUGUGGACCGCAGUGCAGGAUGGGAAAUGUGGUUUGUGACAUGGGUAGAUUUAACACUACCUUAAUAUGGUCAAAAACAGUUUAAAUGAAAUGGAUACAUUUAUAGGACGAAUCUUAUGCCUUUCACAAUUGGGCGCUC
ensembl:lncRNA